UUGACUUUUGGAUCUUGUCAUGAUUUAUUUCUCUAUACGCAGAAGUGAUUUUAAUUUUCAAAGAACGACGGGAUGCGAAUCCAAUCGCUAGACACAGAUAUGUCCAACGAUAUGAAUGCCUCAUGAGCUCUUCAAAACGUUAUUAUUGCCCACCAUUGACUUUAAACAGACGGCACAGACACCCUAUCUGCAGCAAAGUUUGGAUCUUCUUGUUAGCAGUCCCGGCUGCUUGCCUUGAGGUUUCUCCACCGUUGGACGCUUGGAUGAUGAACAGCGGGCUGCAGCCGUUCCCAUUGAGCCUGCCUUGUUUCACAUUUUGCUUUGUAGAUGGCUUACAAGAGUGAACCUCCCUCCCAUCUGAGCUUGUUGAAAAGAGGGUAUUCGGUAGCGAAAGGUCAAGUUCUUGAAUAUCUGGGAAUUGCUUGGGAGAUUUACAUUUUGCUUUGUUAGAAUUCCGAGAGCCUAGAGGCCGGCCGGCGUGAAAAUUUCCACAUCGUUGCACUUUGAAUCCUUUUUGUCCAAGACUUUUCGGGUAGAAUGGAGAAUAGCACCGUUGAAUGAGUUUGAAAUGGAACUCGUUUUUCAUGUAAUGAGAUAGGAAUUAGCUUUUUUAUUUCCCUCAACAUCGUCUCUUUUUUCUUUUCUUUUCGUCUCUUCGGAGACGUCUGAUAAUUUCAAAUUAGCAUGAUGCAUGGAAGAUUA